AUUGAACGCUGGCGGCAUGCCUUACACAUGCAAGUCGAACGGCAGCGGACCUUCGGGUGCCGGCGAGUGGCGAACGGGUGAGUAAUGCAUCAGAACGUGCCAUUGAGUGGGGGAUAACGUAGCGAAAGUUACGCUAAUACCGCAUAUUCUGUGAGCAGGAAAGCAGGGGGACCGCAAGGCCUUGCGCUCUUUGAGCGGCCGAUGUCAGAUUAGCUAGUUGGUGAGGUAAAGGCUUACCAAGGCGACGAUCUGUAGCGGGUCUGAGAGGAUGAUCUGCCACACUGGAACUGAGACACGGUCCAGACUCCUACGGGAGGCAGCAGUGGGGAAUUUUGGACAAUGGGCGCAAGCCUGAUCCAGCCAUGCCGCGUGAGUGAAGAAGGCCUCGGUUGUAAGACUCUUUCGGUCCGGGAAGAAAUCGCAUGGGUUAAUACCCUGUGUGGAUGACGGUACCGGAAGUAAGAAGC
rnacentral:rRNA from 1 species